ACGAAACGAAAACUCUGCGCAUGCUCAGGAAAUCGGGCCAGAGGUCGCGAUUCCUGGUGCUGACCCAAAAGAGCGCCCACUCUGGGAACGAGAAUGCUAAUUCCCUUGUCUGAAAAGAUGUUGCGCUCUUUGGCUUUCGCGCUUCCAACCGGCCGCAUUAAUUUUCGGUAAAAUCUGAUUGGCUCACAUUUAUAGCAGACACAAGAUACCGUCGUUGUUGACAGGGAAGCAUCAGGCGUUCUUUUUUCCCUUUACCCGUUCUCCUAGAAAAAAAAAAUGUCUCAGUAAAUACACGAAUAUGAUCGGCUUUUUCUUCGAGGGCAAAUAUGCUAGUAUUACGAACAUCAAGUUUCCAAGGGGCAACUAGCAGAGCGAUUGUUCCGAGACAUAUCUACACUCUAUUGUCUUUAUUGUUCAGCACUAAAUUUUCCUCCCGGUGCGCCAGUUCAAAAGUAAAAUUAAAUUAUUUUCAACUUUUUUCAGAUGAAAGGAGUGAAAGCCAUAUUUAAAAUUUGAAAAACAAAACAGACAACAUUACAGUUUCUCCCACCCGCUGAAUCCUGAUUGGACAAUUCAAAUUUCAGACGAACCGGCCGUAAUGCAAGGUCAAUAAAUUGUCAAGUAAAAAUAAAAAAAAUUCUUGCAAAUAUGGCGAAUUGCCGCUGAACGCGAAACCUUUACAAGGAACGUUGGCUAAGUGCAACCUCGUUCUCAGUCUUUGUCCCGUUCCCCUCCCCUCGUAGCUUUCUCGCUCUAGGAAACGGAAGAAGAACCACCCUGGGAAACUCGUAUAGAGAAAGCCCCCGGAGGCUCCUCUGUUAAAAGGGCGGGGAUGCUCUUCGGAAAAUUUUUAAGACAAAGCGAGCUAGACACCCGCAUAAGGCAAAUUUGGUUGUGGCUAAAGCUCUCGUUGACCCCCUAAAGGGUACUAUUCUAAACAAACACAUACAAAUAAGCACCUAAGUCCAACACGGUCGAGACCAUGGGCAUUCUAGCCUCGGCUUCCAGGUGUUGAGUUAGUUGGGGCGCAGCGCGUAAAACUAUCUGAACGCCCGAAAGAGGUUAACAUGGAAGUCAGAUUCCGCCGGAAUGUAGCUUGAAUUUCAGCCGCCUCCUCCGCUGGCUAAGUCACUCGGGGACAGAGACGUCGUCUUUCUCCCCAAGUAGCCUGCGAGUAGGCUCACGUUGGAGCACAAGGGCGCGCGGAGUAGCCGUGAGGGCGAAAUCGAGCGGCGGAGCCGCGAGACGAGAACUUUCUUAGCGCCUCUUCACCAGACUCCUUUCCGCCGGAUCGCUUUGCUCUUCAAUUCGCCUACAAAAAGCCUCAAAGGGGAGUCUACUCGCAGGCUAUCCCCGAGUGACUUAGCGAGCGGAGGAGGCGGAAUAGGACUUUUGCCACUUUCAUUUUCAUAUCUAGCAAACCACCAGGCCAGUGAAUGAUUAAAAGGAAAUUACGCACUCAUAAUGUGAUAUGUGGGUUAUUGACCAAUCGUAACGACAAGAUGGCUGGAUAUUCAAUAUAAGACCUUUUCUUUGCACGUUACCAGCCGAGACACAUGAUAUAGGAUCUCGGCCAAAAAGGUUGUUCAAUAAAAGACAUAUUACAUGGCAUACAGAGAUAUCAUUUUCUUGUCUUGACUUCCGGUGGUGCGGAUCGACUCCGUACAAAUUGAGUCGCAUCGUCAAGUACCUCAGAAGAAUCGACUCGGUUUGGGUGUAUUGGUACCUGAACGUAUUGGACAUGGAUGGAUGUAUCAAUGGAGUAUUGGCCGAUAAUCGACAGAUGUCGGUUGAUAGUGUAAGCUGAUCGACACUACCAUCAAUAUAUUAUCCUAAAAUUGCGUUAUCCAGUUCUCGAGUAGCAUUUGUUUAGUGCAUCAUUCAAAUCAGUGUUGAAUCCAUAGCGCCUAAACUAAACCUUUGACUUUUGUAAUACGAUAGCUUUACCACAAUACCUAGACAUUCCAAAAGUCCUUUCCGCUGGAUGAUAAGCGAAGGUUUAGGCAAAGCUUGAAUUACGUUGAGUCAUGGGGGAACGUUCCUCACUUGUCCGCAGCAAAAAUCGUCGCGAUGCAGUGGGUUACUCCACGUUUGAUCCUAGUGGUUCAAUAGACAGUGGGCUUUCAAUUAGCCCAGACGACAGCACUGCAAGGACAGGCGGUGGUGCCUAUGUCGCAGCCGUUGAGGACGCCAGGGAGAGAGUAUCAAUUUCUUGGGAGAACAUCCAGGCAUUUGUCGACCAGCCAGGUCCAUCCUUCUUUAAGAGAUUGUGUUUUGGUACCGAUGAAAACCAAACCCCGACAAAAAAGCACGUCUUGGUCAAUGUGAGUGGAAGCGUGGAAGCUGGAACUUUGUUAGCCGUCAUGGGAGCAAGGUGAGAACAGAUGCUAUAUUUUCCCAUGCUGCGCGUAUUUGAUUUAACCUUCAUAUAAACGGGAAAGCAUUGAACUUCCGGUCUUAAUUUUUGGUCAACGAAAAUCCGGCGAGCAUUCACAUUCUACACGUCUGAACGCCGCAACUUUUCGGCCCAGUUCCCAGGGGGACCUCUCAAUUAAAAAGGAUUGGGGUACUCGUCAGAAAUUUUGAAAAGAGCCUCUAAAAGGUUG